rnacentral:rRNA from 1 species
GACGAACGCUGGCGGCGUGCUUAACACAUGCAAGUCGAACGCUGAACCCGCUUCGGUGGGGGAUGAGUGGCGAACGGGUGAGUAACACGUGGGCAACCUGCCCCCGGCUCUGGGAUAACUCCAAGAAAUUGGGGCUAAUACCGGAUGUGACCGCUGGCCGCAUGGUCUGGUGGUGGAAAGGGUUUCCGGCUGGGGAUGGGCCCGCGGCCUAUCAGCUUGUUGGUGGGGUAGUGUCCUACCAAGGCGACGACGGGUAGCCGGCCUGAGAGGGUGACCGGCCACACUGGGACUGAGACACGGCCCAGACUCCUACGGGAGGCAGCAGUGGGGAAUAUUGCGCAAUGGGCGGAAGCCUGACGCAGCGACGCCGCGUGGGGGAUGACGGCCUUCGGGUUGUAAACCUCUUUCAGCAGGGACGAAGCGCAAGUGACGGUACCUGCAGAAGAAGCACCGGCCAACUACGUG